rnacentral:lncRNA from 1 species
UGUUUAGCACAAUCCCUGGAUACAGUAGGUGAUUAAUAUUUAUUUCCUUUUCUUUCUAUUGUAUACAGUGUUUUAUGGUUACAUAAUUAUCCUCCUUGAUCUUCACAACCCCUUUGUGAGAUAGAUAAUACACAUGAACUGAAACUGAUGGAUCUGUGACUUCUUCUAUGACGAUACUCCUUCCAACAACAAAGAUCAGACAAUUUGUUUGAACCUUGUCAUCAUGUGCCAUCCUUGUCCAUCUCCUCAUCCACAGAGGAUCCAACCAUGAAUUAAACUAGAAAGCAGAGAAGGUCAAGGAAUCCAAUCUUCACGUUAAGCAGCAUAUUUGGAAUUCAUCAAGCCUACGAAAGAUAUACACAUUUUUAAAAACACCGUAAAAGAAGAUUGAUUGAUUAUUAAAUAUUUUCCAACCCACCAUUGGUCAUAUCUGAAUGAAGAAAACUCUUUUCUUGUAACAGGAUUCCUACACAAAUAUCUAUAUAUUCCUUUUUAAAAAAUACUGAAGAAUGCAUGCCCUUUGAUCCAGUAAUACCACUACCAGUUAAAGGUAUUCUCCUGGGACUUUGAUGCACCUAAAGAUUCAACUGAAAUUGUUGUGAAGGAGUGAUUCAAGUUGGCAAUGGGAACAAACAUGAGAUAGGACUGCCGGGCAUAUUGUGAAGGGAAGUUACAAAGGUAAGUAUUACAGAAAGAGAAAUUCUAGUUAGUGGGACCUGGAGGAGAUUUAUAGAUGAGGAAGAAAGACUAAUGAUGAGUUAAGUUAUAUUAUUAGGCUCCUAAUACUAAUUAGACCCCCUUGUAUUUCUGUGGCCACUCCAGACUUCCCCACUCAGCAUAUUAUAGCAACAUAUACUUGCUAGAAAACUGGAUUGUGGCCAGAAAGGG